AUUGAACGCUGGCGGCAUGCUUUACACAUGCAAGUCGAACGGUAACAGGGAGCUUGCUCCGCUGACGAGUGGCGAACGGGUGAGUAAUAUAUCGGAACGUACCCAAGAGUGGGGGAUAACGUAGCGAAAGUUACGCUAAUACCGCAUACGAUCUAAGGAUGAAAGCAGGGGACCUUCGGGCCUUGUGCUCCUGGAGCGGCCGAUAUCUGAUUAGCGAGUUGGUGAGGUAAGGCUGACCAAGGCGACGAUCAGUAGCUGGUCUGAGAGGACGACCAGCCACACCGGAACUGAGACACGGUCCAGACUCCGACGGGGGGCAGCAGGGGGGAAUUUUUGAAAAUGGGCGCAAGCCUGAUCCAGCAAUGGCGCGUGAGUGAAGAAGGCCUUCGGGUUGUAAAGCUCUUUUGUCAGGGAAGAAACGGGAGUGGCUAAUAUCCAAUCCUAAUGACGGUACCUGAAGAAUAAGCACCGGCUAACUACGUGCCAGCCGCCGCUGUAAGAC
rnacentral:rRNA from 1 species